rnacentral:rRNA from 1 species
UACGUAGGGGGCAAGCGUUGUCCGGAAUCAUUGGGCGUAAAGAGCGUGUAGGCGGCCAGGUAGGUCUGCUGUGAAAACUCGAGGCUUAACCUCGAGAUGUCGGCGGAAACCAUCUGGCUAGAGUCCGGAAGAGGAGAAUGGAAUUCCCGGUGUAGCGGUGAAAUGCGCAGAUAUCGGGAAGAACACCCGUGGCGAAGGCGGUUCUCUGGGACGGUACUGACGCUGAGACGCGAAAGCGUGGGGAGCGAACAGG